UGCCUUUAUGUGUUGCCCUUUCAUUGUUUCAUUGUAAUGAUUGGGGUGUCAAAUAAGGCAUACAGUGACACUUGUGACUGUCUGUUGAAUGAGUAUCAUGUGACUCCUUUAAACAAACAGCUGCAAGGACACAC